rnacentral:rRNA from 1 species
GGGCGAAACCUGGAAGGAACAACGCCGCGUGAGUGAUGAAGGUCUUCGGAUCGUAAAACUCUGUUAUUAGGGAAGAACAAAUGUGUAAGUAACUAUGCACGUCUUGACGGUACCUAAUCAGAAAGCCACGGCUAACUACGUGCCAGCAGCCGCGGUAAUACGUAGGUGGCAAGCGUUAUCCGGAAUUAUUGGGCGUAAAGCGCGCGUAGGCGGUUUCUUAAGUCUGAUGUGAAAGCCCACGGCUCAACCGUGGAGGGUCAUUGGAAACUGGGAAACUUGAGUGCAGAAGAGGAAAGUGGAAUUCCAUGUGUAGCGGUGGAAUA